rnacentral:rRNA from 1 species
UAGGGAAUCUUCGGCAAUGGGGGCAACCCUGACCGAGCAACGCCGCGUGAGUGAAGAAGGUUUUCGGAUCGUAAAGCUCUGUUGUAAGAGAAGAGCGUGUGUGAGAGUGGAAAGUUCACACAGUGACGGUAACUUACCAGAAAGGGACGGCUAACUACGUGCCGG